CCCUUCUUCGCUUUGGCAGCACAAAUUGAAACAACAUGGAGAAGACUAGCAUGCCCCCUGUGCAAGGAUGACAUGCAAAUUCAUGAAGCAUUCCAUAUUUUU